AUUGAACGCUGGCGGCAGGCUUAACACAUGCAAGUCGAGCGGAAACGAUGGGAGCUUGCUCCCAGGCGUCGAGCGGCGGACGGGUGAGUAACACUUAGGAAUCUACCUAGUAGUGGGGGAUAGCUCGGGGAAACUCGAAUUAAUACCGCAUACGUCCUACGGGAGAAAGGGGGCAACUUGUUGCUCUCGCUAUUAGAUGAGCCUAAGUCGGAUUAGCUAGUUGGUGGGGUAAAGGCCUACCAAGGCGACGAUCUGUAGCUGGUCUGAGAGGAUGAUCAGCCACACCGGGACUGAGACACGGCCCGGACUCCUACGGGAGGCAGCAGUGGGGAAUAUUGGACAAUGGGGGCAACCCUGAUCCAGCCAUGCCGCGUGUGUGAAGAAGGCCUUUUGGUUGUAAAGCACUUUAAGCAGUGAAGAAGACCAUAUGGUUAAUACCCAUAUGCGAUGACAUUAGCUGCAGAAUAAGCACCGGCUAACUCUGUGCCAGCAGCCGCGGUAAUACAGAGGGUGCAAGCGUUAAUCGGAAUUACUGGGCGUAAAGCGAGCGUAGGCGGCUUGAUAAGUCAGAUGUGAAAUCCCCGGGCUUAACCUGGGAACUGCAUCUGAUACUGUCAGGCUAGAAUAGGUGAGAGGAAGGUAGAAUUCCAGGUGUAGCGGUGAAAUGCGUAGAGAUCUGGAGGAAUACCGAUGGCGAAGGCAGCCUUCUGGCAUCAUAUUGACACUGAGGUUCGAAAGCGUGGGUAGCAAACAGG
rnacentral:rRNA from 1 species